ACGGUGACGUUAAGCAAAUCUCAAAAAUAAACGUCCCAGUUCGGAUUGUAGUCUGCAACUCGACUACAUGAAGCUGGAAUCGCUAGUAAUCGCGAAUCAGAAUGUCGCGGUGAAUACGUUCCCGGGUCUUGUACACACCGCCCGUCACACCAUGGGAGUCGGUAACACCCAAAGUCUGUAGCCUGACGCAAGAGGGCGCAGCCGAAGGUGGGAUUGAUGACUGGGGUGAAGUCGUAACAAGGUAAC
rnacentral:rRNA from 1 species